GAGGGGCAGGUGGCAAUUAAACCACGAUUCGUUGUUUAAUUACGGUCAAGAAAGCGCAUCGGGUGAACCACAUUGAUUACCGACUUCAAGUCAGCAUGUUCACGCCCCCUUAAGAGUGACCUGCUUUCUGCAUUUCUGAAUACUAGAGGACAAGAAGGGGACAGUCUGUACAUCUGUCUUGGAAAAACUAAAGAAAGGAAAACAUAAUUGUUUUAGGACUGGUAGGAUAAUGAGCCUUCAUCCCACGUCAACCGUGUUCCACGGUGUUCCUCCUAUACCCGAUCAGGCGACAGUGGUAAAAACAGGAUACCUCCUCAAGUCCCCUCCGUACUCCCUGUUGAGAAGAGAGACUUUCUGGAGAAGGCGUUUUUUUGUUCUGUACAAAUCAAAUGAACAAGACUACCGGCUCAAGUACUUCAACAGCGAGGAUCAGAAGGACAGGGCCCUGGGGGAAAUAGACCUGAAACAGUAAGUUUGUUUUCAACUGAAACUAUGACUUGCACACAAUUAAAGGUAAUCGAGGUACGAUUCGAGAGCUAUGAUUUGUCCGUAGUGCCUGAAGUGUCACACUACACAAUAACCAUCUGUAACCCAUUAGUGGGUUAAAUGCUAUAGAAUAUCCUAUUUUACUUGAUUGUAGUAUGUAUAGAUGACCCUUGCCUUGACGCCAUAAGCGUUUCCGUAGAAUGACCUCGUGGUGUGCCGCACACAUCUGAAGAUCUAACUCUUUUGAAGGUUGAGAGCGAUGCUAGUAAGCCCGGGCGGCCACCCCAGAUGGAGUUGGGUCCAGAAAAACGUCAACUGUAAUCCGUCCUGCGUUCUCUACAUCAACACUUCUGCCAGGGAAUACUUUCUGGUUGGCGACAACAGGUAGCAGAGGGCAGGUUCGAACACAGGUCUAUGGCUGUAAGGCGUGAUCACCGAGGAUUAACGUCAUGGAUUUACAUAAUACAGUGCCAUCAAAAAAAUGCCAUCAAACUGCGCCCUGUUACAUGUUUCAGCUUAGGUUAUGUUGGUGCUUGAAUCAGAACAUGAGUCACUCCAUCUCAGAUAGAGCCUGAAAAAUGUUGUUCAUGACUUGGCUUCAGAACAGAGGCGGAGUGGCCAUCGGGACGAUCGGGAGGUUUCCCGGUGGGGCCGGUCCCCCCGGUAUGAAAAAGUGCCCCGCUCCGCCCCUGCUUCAGAAGCCACCAUGCAUUCCACCCUUCAAUCAAUACGGAAUCCCCAAGCAGUCAUUACUAUGUCACUACUUUAAUUGGUUUGAAGUCCAGUCGGUCAUUUGCACUAUGUCAUCAUGGUCAUCUAGCGUUCAUCGUGAAGGUUUAUUUUUAUGAUAACAUUUACAUGAUUACAAAACGUGUAUGAUAAUAAUUUAGGCCUGUUAAACUAUACAUUUGUAAGAAAGGUGGAGCUGUAGUUUACUAUACAGCCACUGUAGUGACAUACGUCUUUGAACAUGCAUCAAUCUGCAUUACAAACCAAUGUUAUUGAUGUUUAUCUUAAUCUUGGAAUAAUCUCACUCAGAGCCCUUUCCAGCGACAUCUACAUUGAGUGUAGAUGUGUUGAGCUCUCUCUGGGCAGCUGUUGAUUUCGAUAUCCCUGUCUGAGAGAGGGUUAGCUUCUUGGACACAUCUACACUCAUUAGAGUCAUACCAAUGAUGUGUACUAGCUAGAAAAAGUAUUACAAAGGUGCUGUGGGUUGUAGGCCAAGUCUUUCUGUUUUUUACGCUAGCCUGUUGCCUGAUUUUGAUCAGGUUUGUUCAGGAUGAUCUGGCCCAACGUUUAGUUUCCUAUUCAAAGCUAAAGGAGAACAGAGCUUAUUGAAUGAGUACGCCCGUUCAUCAUUGUCAAUGUCAAUAAUGUAAGGUUACUCCACCACGGACUCACUCUGGUUGGGGGCGGCAAAUAAAUGAAUUGCCCUUUAGGCAUCAAUUCCGAGGAUGCUGAUCGGCUUGAAGAAUGUCGCUAUGAGCAUAUCUUUUGUCAGCAAUUGGGAGCGCUGCAGCACUGACUGGGCGAUGUUUGUAUCGCCCCAGAGGAAAGGUUGGAACAGCAUAGCUCAUCUUCCGCAAACACACUGAUAGAUAUUUUUGAUAUUUCACGUUAUUGUCAAUUUUAAUCACUAACAUAAAUUAUUGUUUAUUUAAAAACAUAUAAUGUAUUUUAUGUUGAAUGGAUUGAAUAAUCACCUAUUACAUUUUUUAAUAGGUAGGCUUUAUUUUUACUGCUUGCCUAUUUAGGAGUAUGAUGUUUGUCCGAUCUUUUAUAUGUUUUACAUUCAACGCUAUAUGAACCUAUAUUCAUGUCAGUCAACAGUCACAGCAACAGUCUAUCAUUGUCUUGCAAAUCACAAAACCAAAGUUUAUUAUGGGUUGUUUCAUAAAUACACAUAAUUGUGAGGCUUUUUUUUUUUUUUCUCUGAUUCAUAAUGACCUUGGUUUCCUCUUGAACAGACCUCCAUUUAUACUUUGAGAUGAUGUGUGAAUUGCAAUUGCAUUGUCUUCCUAUUACCCCCAUUUAUUUAAUUUCCAGCUCGGAUGUGAAUGACUGGUUCAUUGCUUUAUCCAAUCCCGGUUUUGCAGAGGUAGGCUGAACUUUGUUUGUAUUUAUAAUAUUAA